UGCGUAGGCGGCUUUUUAAGUCGGAUGUGAAAUCCCUGAGCUUAACUUAGGAAUUGCAUUCGAUACUGGGAGGCUAGAGUAUGGGAGAGGAUGGUAGAAUUCCAGGUGUAGCGGUGAAAUGCGUAGAGAUCUGGAGGAAUACCGAUGGCGAAGGCAGCCAUCUGGCCUAAUACUGACGCUUAGGUACGAAAGCAUGGGGAGCAAACAGGAUUAGAUCCCCUAGUA
rnacentral:rRNA from 1 species